ensembl:lncRNA
GUGAAAUGUGGCUGUUAAUCAAUACUGCACUGACGGUGCGUGGGAGUCUGCAGCUAAUUUGUUGUAUUCUAUUCUCCUAUGCACCUUACAUUAUAUACUAUUCUGCUUUAACAACAACAAAAAAAGGGGACCAAUCUGGACAGCCUGACAAUCCAAUUCUCAGUAGCAACACUCAGGCAUGACUUACAGCUGGCCAGAGGCCUCUAAAAAAAAUCCUCUUUCGGUUCAUUAUAAGUGCAGCAUGUGAAAACAGAGAUUAUUCAGCCUUCCAUCCAACAAUCUGAUACACAUCCCCUCAGUAGUGGUGUCUCUUCCUUCUCUUUCUUCUUCCUGCUUUCACAUGCUUUCCCAAAAGCUCAUUUCUCCCAGGUGCCUGGGAGCAGCUCAGACAGAACAGGGUGAGGAUUAAACAAGUCCCCAGCCGAGGAUUCCCUGCAACAUUUAAACUCCACGAACUCCAUGUGAGGGAAAUAUCGGGUUUGUCUUUUUGUAUGCAAAAUAUUCAGCACACCAAGUUUGUCUCCCUGCCCUUUGAUGCUGUGGAGGUUGUGUGCUGUCAGUUUACUGGCGCUGUUUGGCUGAAAAGGCUGCCUGCUGCACUACAAGAGAAGAUGCACUGAGAAGUAAAGGAACCUAAAAGAAGGAACUGUGCAGUUUGAUAGUAUCAUUUUCUGGUGGAGCAUUACUCCCUGCCAGCCUUCAAACAGUAUCAAAAACCUGAUUUCUUCCCAGGUCGCAAAUUAUCCAGAGGCCCCGGAAUGCAGAUGCAAAAGCCAAGGUAACAGGAAAUUGGCCAUUCAGCACAUCAUCUACAGUAGCUGCUCCAGCCAGCCAACGGACUGAUGGAUGGCAAGUCACACUCGAGCUGCGACACCAUUGAUUUCCCUCUCAUACAACCUCGAGACUGCUGAUUCAAGAUAAUGUUACAUUUUUAAAGGCUUUGCUGUGAUAGUGGGGUCAUAAAUUCUGCAGAUGAAGCUGAUAAAUGAGCUGAAGCUACAUUGACAGGUCCAGGUUUUUCUUUCUCCUAGGUGUGUUCUGACACAGAGGCUAUGACAGGUGAAGGUGCUUAGUAAUCAGUGGAGACAGCGCAGGCAGGUGUUCUGAUCAUCAUCAACACUUCUCGAUAAAACCAGACAUCAUUCUUUGCUUGGAGUGGGACUUUCUUCACCUACUUGUGCCUCCUGGAUCCGCUGUCUGCUCUGUCCUGUCCGUUGGAGAGCAACUCACCUGUUGGAUUCCUGGGUUCCAUUCUUCUACUAGUCUGCUCUCCAUUCCUGCCUACAAAGCCAGCACCUGUCUCCUCACACCAGGAGCCGUUAGCCCCCAGCUCGCUUAACCCUGCCACUCCUACGCCUGCCUCUCCACCGUAGCCCUACAAUCUACACCUGCUGGGUCGUCACUACACUGGAAUGGUUGGAGCCAGUCCCCAAUCCCCAAUUUCAAUAAAAAAUUAUCAUGAAUUUUGGCGCAAAAAAAUGCCUUACUAUACUAUGUCGAAAAAAAUACACGAUUUUUCAACAUGUCGUGAAAACGUGCCAUAUGAUGAAAUAAUGUAAAGGAGGCCGUGAAAAACACUCCAGAAAGGUUUU